CCUACGGGAGGCAGCAGUGAGGAAUAUUGGUCAAUGGCCGGAAGGCUGAACCAGCCAUGCCGCGUGAAGGUCAGUGCCCUAUGGGCGUUAAACUUCUUUUGUGCGGGAGCAAUAAUGGUCACGUGUGGCCAGACGAGAGUACCGUACGAAUAAGCAUCGGCUAACUCCGUGCCAGCAGCCGCGGUAAUACGGGGGAUGCAAGCGUUAUCCGGCUUUAUUGGGUUUAAAGGGUGCGUAGGCUGUGAGGUAAGUCAGCGGGGAAAUGCCCCCGCUCAACGGGGUGAAGUGCCAUUGAUACUGCCUUGCUGGAAUGCGGAUGCCGUGGGAGGAAUGUGUGGUGUAGCGGUGAAAUGCAUAGAUAUCACACAGAACACCGAUUGCGAAGGCAUCUCACGAAUCCGCGAUUGACGCUGAUGCACGAAAGCGUGGGUAUCAAACAGGAUUAGAUACCCCGGUAGUC
rnacentral:rRNA from 1 species